rnacentral:rRNA from 1 species
UACGUAGGGGGCAAGCGUUGUCCGGAUUUAUUGGGCGUAAAGAGCGUGUAGGCGGCCUGGAAGGUCAGCUGUGAAAACUCGAGGCUCAACCUCGAGACGUCGGUUGAAACCACCUGGCUAGAGUCCGGAAGAGGAGAGUGGAAUUCCCGGUGUAGCGGUGAAAUGCGCAGAUAUCGGGAAGAACACCCGGUGGCGAAGGCGGCUCUCUGGGACGGUACUGACGCGUGAGACGCGAAAGCGUGGGGAGCGAACAGG